CACUGAAGCACAUGGUAAAAUGGCUGCCUUUUCAUAAGAUUACAUGUCUAGCUAACAAUUACAACUAGCUGAACAGCUCUGAAUAAAAUCAUGUCCCUGAAACAAAGGUAGAUCUUUCACCAGAUAUGCUUAUACAAGGAUAGUGGAGUUUAAGAAGGAGAUAUGCAAAAGGACAGCUCUGCUAAUGUGUCCUGGAGACUGGAAACUUCUCUUUCCCAGGAUGCUUUU